CUGCUAUGAAUGUGUUAUGAACUCACCCGUCAAGUAAACUGUUACCGUUUUAUGUCCUCCAGUGUCCCUGUCACAGCCCAUCAUCUCUAUAAGGGCCCCAGAGGGAGAGCUGGUCUUGGGGCCCCUCGGCCCAGAGGUCCCCUGGGGCCAAAGCUUCUCCAUCGUCUGCACCACAGAGCCACAGGAGUACCAAGGAGGCUCUUUCCACCUCACCUCUGAUGGGUCAGCUGAGAUCUGGACUGAGCUGGCUGUCAAUCACUCUGCAUCUUUCUACUUUCCUAAGGCAGAGUUUAUCCUUGCAGGGAACUACAGCUGCAUCUAUGAGGUCACUUUGGCCACACGUCUGUUCACCUCAGGAACGACAGAUGUGCUUUGUGUGAUCAUAAGAGCACUGACUUGGAGUGGUCUCACCAUAUAGCAUCUGCACAUCCCUCUGUGUUGUAUGGAGCAACACUUGGGCUGUUGUUUCUCCUGAUGCUUCUGUGCUCAGUGCUACUGUUGAACAAAAAGAAGGCUAAAUAUGUGGUCAAUGAGGAGCACUGGCCCAUGAGUUCAUUUGAAGUACCGCAGAGUUCAUACCAUAUGAAGACAAAGAAGAUACCAAAUCCGAUGGAUGAAGAACAUGUCCUCCAUUAAUUUUCAUUGUUAGCUGACCUCAGUAUAUA